rnacentral:rRNA from 1 species
AGUGAACGCUGGCGGUAGGCCUAACACAUGCAAGUCGAACGGCAGCACAGUAAGAGCUUGCUCUUACGGGUGGCGAGUGGCGGACGGGUGAGGAAUACAUCGGAAUCUACUUUUUCGUGGGGGAUAACGUAGGGAAACUUACGCUAAUACCGCAUACGACCUACGGGUGAAAGCAGGGGAUCUUCGGACCUUGCGCGAUUGAAUGAGCCGAUGUCGGAUUAGCUAGUUGGCGGGGUAAAGGCCCACCAAGGCGACGAUCCGUAGCUGGUCUGAGAGGAUGAUCAGCCCACCUGGAACUGGAACACGGUCCAGACUCCUACGGGAGGCAGCAGUGGGGAAUAUUGGACAAUUGACGCAAGCCUGAUCCAGCCAUACCGCGUGGGUGAAGAAGGCCUUCGGGUUGUAAAGCCCUUUUGUUGGGAAAGAAAAGCAGCAGGUUAAUACCCCGCUGUUCUGACGGUACCCAAAGAAUAAGCACCGGCUAACUUCGUG